rnacentral:rRNA from 1 species
UGGGGAAUAUUGGACAAUGGGCCAAAGCCUGAUCCAGCCAUGCCGCGUGUGUGAAGAAGGUCUUCGGAUUGUAAAGCACUUUAAGUUGGGAGGAAGGGCAUUAACCUAAUACGUUAGUGUUUUGACGUUACCGACAGAAUAAGCACCGGCUAACUCUGUGCCAGCAGCCGCGGUAAUACAGAGGGUGCAAGCGUUAAUCGGAAUUACUGGGCGUAAAGCGUGCGUAGGUGGUUUGUUAAGUUGGAUGUGAAAUCCCCGGGCUCAACCUGGGAACUGCAUUCAAAACUGACUGACUAGAGUAUGGUAGAGGGUGGUGGAAUUUCCUGUGUAGCGGUGAAAUGCGUAGAUAUAGGAAGGAACACCAGUGGCGAAGGCGACCACCUGGACUAAUACUGACACUGAGGUGCGAAAGCGUGGGGAGCAAACA